rnacentral:piRNA from 1 species
UUAGGUUGGACAUUCAAUGUUGUGCU